AUUCCGUGAUGUGGGCAUUCUAGGAUGUACUCGUGGAGACGUUCCCAUGCUUCGGGAAUGGUCUCAUCUUCCUUCUACUGAAAGCUCGAAAUUCUGGUCCUCAGGGC
rfam:Sorghum bicolor cultivar BTx623 chromosome 7, whole genome shotgun sequence.